UGAGCAAUCUGCCCUUCUCUUCGGAAUAAGCGUGGGAAACCGCGUCUAAUGCCGAAUACGACCUCCUUUCGCAUGAUCGGAGGUGGAAAGCUCCGGCGGAGAAGGAUGAGCUCGCGGCCUAUCAGCUAGUUGGUGUGGGUAAUGGCCCACCAAGGCGACGACGGGUAGCCGGCCUGAGAGGGUGACCCGGCCACACUGGACUGAGACACGGCCCAGACCUCCGUAGGGA
rnacentral:rRNA from 1 species